AUGAAGGCCGCACUCCGCGAAAUGAGAAAACUGACUUACUGGCUGCACUUGGAAAGUAUACGAACUCCUUGCAAAGUGGUGCUCUCAGGAACCUUGUUUCAGAAUCAUGUAAAACAGGUCUUCAACAUCUUGAACCUUGUCCGGCCAAAAUUCUUGAAAACGGAGGGAUCCCGGGCGAUAGUGAAGCACAUACUAAGCAAGGUGGACAUGUUGGGGAAAAAAUGCAAGGAUAUUCAGAACGUUAAAGGCAAAAACCGAUAUAUUGUCGUUGAGAAGAUCGGUUCCGUCAUGUGUGGAAUUGAUAUCAAAGUUGUCGCGAAGGCCAAGUUUAUAUACAAUCUGUUGUGUCUUUCAGAAGCGGCAGGAGAGAAAGUACUCGUGUUCAGUCGGUAUGUGCGUUUUCUGAUUUUCUUGGAAAUGCUGCUCGUAAGAGAGAAAGGAUGGAUUCCAGAGGUGCACAUUUUCAGCAUGACUAGUGAAUCAACUCCAGAUCAGCGAGACGAGGCUGUCGAGAGAUUCAACCAAUCACCGGAUGCUAAGGUUUUCUUCGGUUCCAUCAAGGCAUGCGGCGAGGGCAUCUCCCUCGUCGGUGCGUACGAAAACCCUUCCGUGAUGCGCCAGGCGAUCGGGCGUGCUUUCAGGCCAGGGCAGUCCAAAAUGGUGUACUGCUACCGCCUUGUCACUGCCGACUCGCCAGAAGAGGAGGACCACAACACGGCCUUUCGAAAGGAAUGGGUGUCCAAGAUGUGGUUCAAAUCGAACGAGCUUUGUGGAAAUGAUGGUUUUGAGCUUGCUGCUGUGGAUGUUUCAGAGAGCGGGGAUAGAUUUCUUGACAACGAGGCGUUGCGACAAGAUAUCAAAUCCCUAUACAAAAGGUAUGUGAACGACAGUGAUUUUAUUGUUCAUCCCUGGAGCCAAAACGUAACCGCUGAUCGUGGAUCGCUGCAAGAACAUCCUUACCUUGUGUGCUUUUCUUCUGAGGGGGAGAAUUACACAACGGUCGGUGCAGCUAACCGCCGGACAGUGUAG
rnacentral:rRNA from 1 species